UUUAUGACUCGUGAGGAAAAU
ensembl:piRNA 21ur-4831 ncRNA